rnacentral:rRNA from 1 species
UUCCGGUUGAUCCUGCCGGACCUGACUGCUAUCGGAUUGAUACUAAGCCAUGCGAGUCUUUGUAGUAAUACAAGGCAUACGGCUCAGUAACGCGUAGUCAACCUACCCUAUGGACAAGAAUAAUCUCGGGAAACUGAGCAUAAUUCUUGAUAGACCAUAAUGCCUGGAAUGGUUUAUGGUUAAAAUGAUUCGUCGCCAUAGGAUGGGACUGCGGCCUAUCAGCUUGUUGGUGAGGUAAUGGCCCACCAAGGCGAUUACAGGUACGGGCUCUGAGAGGAGAAGCCCGGAGAUGGGUACUGAGACAAGGACCCAGGCCCUAUGGGGCGCAGCAGGCGAGAAAACUUUGCAAUGUGCGAAAGCACGACAAGGUUAGUCCGAGUGAUUUCUGCUAAAGAGAUCUUUUGCUAGUUAUAAAACCACUAGUGAAUAAGGGGUGGGCAAGUUCUGGUGUCAGCCGCCGCGGUAAAACCAGCACCUCAAGUGGUCAGGAUGAUUAUUGGGCCUAAAGCAUCCGUAGCCGGCUCUGUAAGUUUUCGGUUAAAUCUAUGCGCUCAACGUAUGGGCUGCCGAAAAUACUGUAGAGAUAGGGAGUGGGAGAGGUAGACGGUACUCGGUAGGAAGGGGUAAAAUCCUUUGAUCUAUCGAUGACCACCUGUGGCGAAGGCGGUCUACCAGAACACGUUCGACGGUGAGGGAUGAAAGCUGGGGGAGCAAACCGGAUUAGAUACCCGGGUAGUCCCAGCUGUAAACGAUGCAGACUCGAUGAUGCAUUGGCAUAUAGCCAGUGCAGUGUCGCAGGGAAGCCGUUAAGUCUGCCGCCUGGGAAGUACGUACGCAAGUAUGAACUUAAAGGAAUUGGCGGGGGAGCACCACAAGGGGUGAAGCCUGCGGUUCAAUUGGAUUCAACGCCGGG